rnacentral:lncRNA from 1 species
CCUUUUUGCCCCAGCCGGUAAGUCUCUAGACAUUACAGAGAACCCCGAACAAUCCAAUCUGCUAAACUCUGAUACCGCUUUAUACUCACGACCUUGUAUCCACUGAUUGUCUUAUUAGAUUAAUCCAAAAAAUUUCAUUCACUCCGCAUACUCAAUCCUAUAGACAUCCUUUUAAUUCUUCAAUCACAGAUGUAACUUUGAUUUCACAAAACAGUCAAGAGUAAUCACACCCACUUCAUUAAAACCCCGAUUCACCAGUACAACACAUCGACUAUUCAGCAUUGAUCGUUAGAAGUCCCUUUUUUUGAUCCUUUUCCAAAAACCUUGUAUCCUCCUUUUUUCUU